GACAAACACCAACUGAAAUGAAUGAAUGAAGGAAGGAAGGAAGGAAGGAAUUCAAGGAAAAGUAGUAUGUAUGUAUGUAUGUA
rnacentral:ribozyme from 17 species